rnacentral:rRNA from 1 species
UACGUAGGAGGCGAGCGUUGUCCGGAGUUACUGGGCGUAAAGGGUGCGCAGGCGGCGGUUCGCGUGGCGAGAUGAAAUCUCCUGGCUUACCUGGGAGGAUGGUCGCCAGACGGGAUCGCUUGAGGGUCGGAGAGGGGCGUGGAAUUCCGGGUGGAGCGGUGAAAUGCGUAGAGAUCCGGAGGAACACCGACGGCGUACGGCAGCGCCCUGGACGACACCUGACGCUGAGGCACGGAAAGCUGGGGGAGCGAACAGG